GAAAUUGAUCAACAGAACAUAAAAAUGAAAAAUAAAAUUAGAAAUAAAGUAAAAAAGAAAACAACAACCCAAUUGCUUUACAUAUGUCCUAUAUUUAUUACCACUUUUAUAUAGGGUCAAACAAAGUAUAAUGUUAAAAAUCUGUUGACCCGAAUAAAAUAUGGUGUCUACAACUGUCCCUCUUUACAUGUUUUCUAUUAAAAGAAAAAAGGAAAGGAAAUGAAAUUUCGAGUUUUCUCCAAAUAGGAAGCAUGUAAAAAUAUAGACUCAUAUUUUGGACGGGUAAAACAUAAAAUUAAA
rnacentral:misc_RNA from 1 species